rnacentral:rRNA from 1 species
AUACGAAGGGGGCUAGCGUUGUUCGGAAUCACUGGGCGUAAAGCGCGCGUAGGUGGAUCAAUUAGUUGAGGGUGAAAUCCCGGGGCUCAACCUCGGAACUGCCUUCAAUACUGUUGAUCUUGAGACCGAGAGAGGUGAGUGGAAUUCCUAGUGUAGAGGUGAAAUUCGUAGAUAUUAGGAAGAACACCAGUGGCGAAGGCGGCUCAUUGGCUCGGUACUGACGCUGAGGUGCGAAAGCGUGGGGAGCAAACAGGAUUAGAAACCCCAGUAGUCC